rnacentral:sRNA from 1 species
UAUAUGCUGAGAAUAUGGGUUAGAUCUGUUGGUGUUUUUCUGCCCUGCUAGGAUUCAGCGGGUUAUCCGCGCUUCACGUCUCAUAGUUAUCAACGGCUUAAAGCAGUGGUCGAAACCCAGCCCGAUUAUCCAGUGAGAAAACGAGAGCUCUCGUUCGAUUUCUGGUCGUGUUUUAAUUUCCUCGGUUCGGCGAGGAAGAGUGGCUCAUGGCUCUUCUGAAUCGUGGUAACACUUUGCAAGAAGUAUCCCAGCACCGGCGGCUCUAGUCUUUAAUGUUGAUUCUGGCUCCAAAUCACCUUCUGGUGUGAUAACUGAAAGAUUAGCAAUUAUCAGUUCUAAGAUCAUCUCAAAGUUAUAAUAGAAACUUACGGCUUGUUCAGAAUUGCGUGAUAUUUCCGCCUGAAACUGUCCUUCUCGCUGAUGGCCUAGAGGGCUAGGCGGACGAGGUAUGGACUUAAAACAGUAGUUACGAAAGGA